rnacentral:lncRNA from 1 species
AGCCCCGGGGCGCCACGCGCUGGCCCUUCUCCGCAGCACUCAGCGGAUUGGGCAUCCCGGGCUGAACCGGCUGGGGCGACUCCCUCAUCCGGCCCGCACCUCACCCGAAGCUUCAAAGUUGCGGGAAAUAGUUUUGGGGGGGCCCAGGCUAAGGCCAGUGGGCCCGCGACUGCUCGACAAGGGGCUCGGGCUGAGAGCUGGGUGAGACCUGGAGGAGGUCGGGGCGGAGGGGAGCGGGCAGGGGGAGGGGCGGCUGGGAGCAGUUGUGGGGGGAGGGAGGGGGGCGAGGCGCAAGGUGGCCCCCCGCGCCCUGCGCCCGCGGCUCCCGGGGACGCACCAGGCAGCCAAUGGCUGCGCAGAGGUGUACAGCAGAUGGCGUCCGACUGCGCCGUUCCUUCCUCCUCCUCCUCUUCUUCCUCCUCCUUCAGCGCUGAGGAGCCAGAGUCGCCGCCGGGUUGCCAGACGUUGGAAUGGGUGGUCUCCCGACUGACACCAGCAUCUUUCUUGCACUCGGGAGGCUCGGGGCUCGGCGGCUCCCAGAGGCUGCAGCUGCGGCUCAGGCGAGGCGGGAAUAGGGAAGCCAAGAGGUUGAGCAGUCUGAAGAAUGUUUCCAAAGGGUAAUCUCCCUGUCACUGCCUGGGCAUGGAGGAGCAUGAGGAAGCUGUUUCUGUUGCUUUCACUCUUGUUGUCCAUUGCAGCUCAUUCGGAAGCCAAAAAGGAUAAUCAGUACAUGUGGAAACCAGGUAGGAAUGUCCUGGUUGUUCUUUGUCUACUGUCAUUAAUGAGAACAUUUUUUUCUAUCUUUAUUUAUGGAGUAGUAAGAAAUAAUCCAGAGAGGAAAAAUAGAC